GAGGCACCACCUCAGGCCCAAGGCAAUAAUCAUUUCACAGAAAAUGCACCGCCCCGAGUGUCUUAUUGCUGUGAUGAAAUGGAAAUUUAAAUAAAAGGUCGAACACGUGCGUUCACUGGGAAGUAUUGACAUGGGUGUUACAUCACCACCAGCCAAUCAGAUAACUCCAGUCGUGUUUAUACUUCUACAACCACCUUGUCUUCCUGAUAUAUAUAAAGAAAUAUUAAGGUCUUCCUCUAAACCUUAAGGGAGAUGGAAUCAAAAUCAAAGUUCAAGAGGAUAGUAAUCACAAACGUCUCAAAAACAGCUGUAUUAAAGAUAUUGAACUAAUGUUUCCAUCGAAUUUACAUUAAAAACAAUAAUCAUAUACAUACAAUGGAAUAUUAUUCUGUCCUAAAAAAGGAGGGAAAUCUUGCCAUUUGUAACAAUAUGGUUGAAACUGGAGGACAUUAUGAAAUGAAGGUGAAGCUCUUCCGAACAUUCGUGAUCAACCAACAUAAAAUUCAUCUUGAACUUUGAUAUAUUACUCUUGCAACAAGACCCAUAAAGAAUGGCUAUGCCACUAUACCUCUGUUCUCAAAAGGAGUUGACCAGUGUAGGUGGAGAAGGAAAAACUCAGAAGCACUUUUGGAUAAACUGCUCAAAGUAGUUGCACUACUUACAAUGGCUCAGCAGAGUCUUCUGCAUGAACAAAGACAGUGAACGUGAGUGAGGUAUGAAACAUAAUGCAGAUAAUGCACAAGUUAUGCCCUUCAAGGCCAUGAAUGAUUGUGGCCAACCUUGGAAAAGAAGUCAGGCAUCCCAUGAGCAGAAUUAAAAAAAAAAAAUGAAGUCAACUCCUGAGCCACACAGAGAAUACCUGUAUACACACUCUUCUGAGCUUCUGCAACCACGGAAAACCACGGGGGAGAUCAUGUGAACAGAGAGCCUCUCUUCCUAGCCUCUGGCAAAAAAAGCAUCUUUACUCUCUUGACCUGACUGAUGAAAUCUGAAACCAAACUAACACCUUAUGAACAUACAUAAAAAUAAAAUAAAAUGAGCUAUUAUUUCAAAGACAAUUCUGCACAUUCAAUAAUAACAAUUGUAGUAAUAGUAAUAGUUUGUUAAACUUGUUGAAUGUUUAUUUUGUCUAGUACUAUGCUAUUUUCUAUAUCUCAUACUAACAUAACCACUAAUCUCUGUCACUUAUUUUUUUAAAUAUAGUUGACACACAAUAUUACAUUAGUUUCAGGUGUACAACAUAGUGAUUCAACAUGCUUUGCUCUCUGUAAGUGUAGCUACCAUCUGUCACCAUACAACACUAUUACAAUACCAUUGACUAUAUGCCCUAGGCUGUGCCUUUUAUCCUGGUGACUUCCUCAUUCCAUAACUGGAAGCUUGUAUCUCUCAUUCCCUUUUACCCAUUUUGCCCAUUCCCCCACCCCACCCUCAGUGUCAUCCAUUUUUAUUUCCUGUCCUGUUUUUCUUUUUUUUUUUUUAACUUGGAAAUAAUACAUUUGGAGGAUUUUGUAAUUAAUGAGUUAAUUACACUCACUCUGCUGACCCUUGUCUGACCAUUUAAGGUUUUAUACAAUUUAAAAUGUGAUGUAUAUAGUAUCUCCUAAAAAAAAAAAAACAACCUUCCCAAAUAACAAUAUUCUCCCCCCUGUAACUGUUGGAGACUGUAUUCAUCCCAUUAUCCUGCCACGAUACAAAAUUAGCCCUACACUCACAGGCAUGAAUUGGCCAUGCAUUCAAUAUUUGAUUACAUGAAAUAAGAUAUCUUGAAAAUAAACAUAGUUAGCUUCUUAUUUGUGUCAGGUCAG